AGGAAGAGAAAGGCAAGGCAAAGGAAUGGAGGAGCAGUCGAACACCCCUCCAUUGUAGUGUAGAGGCUUCCCAAUGAGGCAGGUCCCAAAUGGGGAGACCCUUGAUGAAGUUGUAUAUGUAUUUUGAAAUUUUAACCCUUAUGAGAGACUGGACACUUUACUGAAGUUAUCUUGUUUUAAUGAUUCAUAGUGGCCGAAGGACUUCUAAAAUUAUGAUCUGAGUCAUCAAGAGAAGGAUAAUAAGACUAGGAAUAAGGGGAGUUCACGUUGUGGCUUGGCGGUAACGAACCCGACUAGUAUCAAGUUUGAUCCCUGGCCUCACUCAGCGAGUAAGGAUCCGGCAUCAUGGUGAGCUGUGGUGUAGGUCACAGACGUGGCUCCGAUCCUGAGUUACUGUGGCUGUGGUGUAGGGCGGCAGCUGUAGCUCUGAUUUGAGCUCUGGUCCGGGAACUUCUAUAUGCCUUGGAUGCAGCCCUAAAAAAAAAGAAUAGGAAUAAUGAUGAGAGGGAAGAGGAGGAGGAGGGAAGGAGGAGGACCACAGGGCUAUGAUUUUAUCCAGAGUGGAAGUGGCCCCACAGAGAGGAUGGGAGUUUUGAUGGGAAAAUCAGAGGCUCUAUUUGUAUUCUCUGUAGUUAUCCUAUUCACAUGCAAAAUUUACAGUGACUAAAAAUUUACCUUCCAGAGAAUGUGGAUCAUAAAUGUAAUGCUUCUCUUGCGCCCUCGUUCAUAUCCUUUGUGCCUUGACAGUGAUCUUUCUGGAUGAGGUGAUAGUAACAUCAUUUACAUAGAAACACUGACUUGAUAUAAUUCCGGCAAGUUUUUCCUCCGUGAGGGAUUUCCAGGUUGUGCUACUCUCUGAAUGGUCCCCAUACCCCAGGUUGGAGAUUGGAAAAAGGAGGUUUAAAGAGAACAUACAUAGACUUAGAUUAUUUCCCACCUCCUAUUCAUUAUAGCAUCCUUAUUUGUUCCAUAAAUAAUAGUCAUGAUGUGUGGUCAAGGCAUCGUGAAGGUAUGCAGGCACAUUUAAGUCAGCUUACAAAAAGAAAAAUAAUGCCGAAUCUAAUUGCAAAAUACAUCGAGUGUUUCAGCUCUCUCUGGCUUUGUGUUUUCACCCUCAUGACUAAAGAUGUCUUUGUGUGAGGUUAAUAAACUUGCCUGGAUCUGUUGCUUUUGAACACAAGCAGUGUUAUAGGGUCCUUAUGCCAUUUUGGUUUCUAACAAAGAUACAUUUAUUAUUUGCUUGUUUUUGAAAUCAUAUUACCACACGGUUGACAGCUUAUGAAAUUCAUCCAGAAGAAAAGCUGGAAAGCAAAAACUGAAAGUGAUAAUAUGAAAAUCCUAAAGAAGUCACCUGUAACAUUUGGGGAGUCACCUAGGCAAUUGAUCUCUCAAUUGAGGGCAGAUAUUCCCAAAUUAAAUGUAGUAGCCCAGAGAAGUAAAGAGCUGAAAGUCACAGCUUUUUUUAUUGUCAGAGUGGGGCAUGCAAAGAAACGAAGACUUGCAACUCUUGUGGAGCAUGAAAAUAUACCCUUACCUUGUUCAGACACUUGAUAGCACAGCAGCAGUACGAAGCUGCGUUCUCCCUGGGUGGCAGGUGCAUUUGCAGGCUGCUGAGGUCACGUUGAUUGCUGAGGGGACAGCUGGCAGUCUGAAGAUGCAAGCUGACCCGAUGAAGUCAUCACUACUCCCCUGCUGAGAUUGUUAGGCUUGUUUCUCUUGCCAUAUACUGUUUCCUUCGUAGAUACUGUUUCUAAUGUGAAUACAAUGAUCUUGAUGGGCAAUUACUUUUAAAAAGCCAUGAACAUUAUUAAAACUUUCAUGAGAGCUCAUAUUUGAUGUUAAAAUACAACUCAUUCACUUAUACAUGCCUCUGCACUGCCAGUACUUGACUCAUUGUAUUUCCUUUGUUGAUAAAAAAAUAAAAUAAAAACUAAAAAUAAGAGUUCCCAUUGUGGCUAAGCAGAAACAGAUCUGACUAGCAUCCUUGAGCACUCAGGUUCAAUUCCUGGCCUUGCUCAUUGGGUUAAGUAUCCAGCUUUGCUGCACGCUGAUGUGUAGGUUGUGGACAUGGCUCGGAUUCCGUGUUGCUGUGGCUUUGGCAUAGGCUGGGAACUACAGCUCAGAUUUGACCCUUAGCCCAGGAACCUCCAUAUGCCACAGGUGCGGCCCUAAAAAGACAAAGG
rnacentral:lncRNA from 1 species